GUGCACGCUGGGAAAUGUAGUCCGAGCGCCUGUGGGGGGACGGGUGUUGAUCUCCAUGAAGCGAUUUUUGAGAAACUUUUGUCUUCUUUUCCUGGACGGUUAGGUUAAUAAUGACGGAGUCGGAAAGGUUUUCAGUCUUCAGUUAGCCACAGAGUUUACUACACGAUGCAUUAUUGAAACAGAAGAGGAGCUGAGGGGUUAUCGACUCAUGUUUGAGGCUUCUGCCAAGGGAAGGGAAUGAGUCCUGCCUCCCUUCAGAGAAGGCUGGAAUGGCAAGACAUUUUCUGAUGUGGAGGAGACCUGCUCUUCAGUGCUAUUUCUUUCCUAUUGUUCCUUGAAUCAGAAUCCCCCACUAUAUCCAACAAUAGUGAGCAAAAAUCUUAUCUGAACACUCCUGCCAGAAGAAGCAGUGAAAUAAUGAACCGAGCUGACAAUGAUGUAGUUAUCAUCAGAUUUCCUGUGGGAUGAAUAGAGUUAGCUGCCUAUUGUUUCAUGCUCUCAGGCGACCAGGCUCACAUUCCAAAGGAUCUUCUCCCACAUCAUGCUGGAUGGAAAACAGACCUGGAGGCCUCCCUGUCCCCUUAGGGGGUCUCUGUAACUGUAGGAACUACAAUUUUUGGGUGGCUAUUCAGCAAUCCAGAGAGUUUUCUUUCAGUUUAUGGUUAUAAAGUGUCCCCAUGACACAGAGAGAAUCCAGAUUUGUCUGCAGAACCACCAAGGGCUGGCUGGAUUAUGACUCUUCAAUUCCCUCUUGCCUGAUGAAACUGGUGCUCUUGACAUCAGUUUUAAGAAAAUUGAAAGAGAUCUGCUGUUGUGUUGUGCUGCUUCUGGAACUUGGUUUCUUGGAGAUGUCAACUUAACACCUUAUCCCAGCACCCAAUUUACAUGAGAAGUGUAAAGCAAAAUACAAAAAGCGCUGUUCUCCUGAAGUGACAGAAGCACACAGAUUGAAAAUGUUGCUGAAAGAUUGCUGGAAGACAGGAAAAACACAUUCAAUCUUUGCCUAAGUGGUAAAAAGGAAAGAGAUGCUCUUUGGACACAGUAGAAGGAGAUAAAAAAGUUUGGAAUAUUCGUCAUCUGCUUAAAGGCUGAAGAGGAUUUUGGGACAGCAAACGGAAGCACUGCAGUGUCGUGGGUUCGUGGUGCAAUAUUUUGGUCCUUGUGGGAUGUUACACUGCAAUAUUGAAAUGAAGGAUCAUCCUCUGAAGUCUGCAAUCUGGUGCCCCUCUCUGGCUGUCAUACCCAAUUCUAGGCACAAGAAACCCAAUAAGGGAUAUCGAUCAAACUGUCUGAUGUGUCAGUUAAAAAAUAGCCCUUCAUAUGUAAACAAAACCUAUGCAGAGCAAGAAAGAAAUAAAUUCAAAAACCUCUUCUUCUUCAGGUUAUUAAAGCUCUUUCUGUUGCUAUACAAUGAGAAUCUUUGUAUAAGUUUUAUGAGCUCUAUCACUGAUCUAUUCAUUUUCUAAUGCCUGAAAAAUUACAGAUCUUGUGCUUAUUGAAUGAAAAAGCAAAGCCCUUUACAAGCCUAUUAGGAAAACAAUAUUUACAACAAAGCACCAAGGAAAAUUCUCCCAUUAAAUUUUACAGCAAUUUCCUUGGAAGAGUCCUUUCCACUGAGAACAGCUGGACUUAAUUGCAGAUGAGCUGACUGAAGGAAGUACCUCUGAUUGCAGAUGUAAUAAAAUUCAUGCUUGACACCUUAAUUUUUUUAAUAUAUAUUGGCCACCAUCAAAUCACUGCAUUUGCUGGUUUGCAGGCUGAAUCUAUCAAAGUUUUGGCAGGAGAAUAGACAGGGAACGGAAAAGCUUGUGGAGGCCUUCAAAGCUUGGUGCUUAAGACACAGCUUUUUAAUGCUAUUGAUUCCUAACAAUCAAUAUUUUUUUUCAAUAAGAAGGUCUCAUAUUACCCUUUUUCCCAACCACCCUUCACAAUGAAGUUAGUUAGGAUGAAAAAGCACUUAAUGGCUUUCUUUGGAGAUUUUUUCCCCAUGUUCAUUGCAGUCUCUUCUGCCUUACAAAGUUCACCUUGCUGAGCCCUUCUGGUUGAUGGUUGUGGAGUGGAUGACCAGAUGUUUUCCAGCACAAAAACCUGCCAUAGGGUUAAGCUUUGACCCAGAAGAGCUAAUUUCUUUCAAAUAAAAGACAUUGCAAGCACAUCAA